GGCAACGAAUUCCAGAGAUUUACUGUGC
rnacentral:sRNA from 1 species